AGUGAACGCUGGCGGUAGGCCUAACACAUGCAAGUCGAACGGCAGCACAGUAAGAGCUUGCUCUUACGGGUGGCGAGUGGCGGACGGGUGAGGAGUACAUCGGAAUCUACUUUUUCGUGGGGGAUAACGUAGGGAAACUUACGCUAAUACCGCAUACGACCUACGGGUGAAAGCAGGGGAUCUUCGGACCUUGCGCGAUUGAAUGAGCCGAUGUCGGAUUAGCUAGUUGGCGGGGUAAAGGCCCACCAAGGCGACGAUCCGUAGCUGGUCUGAGAGGAUGGUCGGCCACACGGGAACGGGAACACGGUCCAGACUCCUGCGGGAGGCAGCAGUGGGGAAUAUUGGACAAUGGGCGCAAGCCUGAUCCAACCAUACCGCGUGGGUGAAAGAGGCCUUCGGGUUGUAAAGCCCUUUUGUUGGGAAAGAAAAGCAGCAGGUUAAUACCCCGCUGUUCUGACGGUACCCAAAAAAUAAGCACCGGCUAACUUCGUG
rnacentral:rRNA from 1 species